GCUCGAUUGGACUUAACAAUGUGUGGCUGGAAAAUACAUCUGCUCUAUGGGAAGACCGCCGGGCCUGCGCCAAAACGGCGGCCAGAUUUCUAUUGAAGAAUUGGGGGAAAAAAUACGCCAGUGUGGUGAAAACUGCCACUGAGCCCAAAACCGCAGAAAAACGCCAAAGAUGAGUGACAAAACGCCAAAGGAAAAAAACGCACAGGGUUUUCCUAGGGGAUGAGUGUUUGAUCGGUGAUCCAUUGAAGAGGAAGUCCAUUGUCCCCUCAUCUGAAUGGAGAGGCCGUCAGAUAUAUUCGCUGCCACUUAAUUCAACUCUAUGGACCAUAUAAUAAAGGCACCAUGCUGUUUCAGGCAAGAAGAUUUUCACCUUUGCAAGAGAGAAGAAGUUGAACAAGGGCCUCUCUAAAUUACAUUUGUUGGCCCCACCAUUUGUUCUAUAAAUAUGUGCUAGCAUUUCUCCUGCUGUGUAUAUAGUAGUAUAUA